GUGGGAGGGGGCUUGCUCCCGAAUGCGGUGUGUCAUUCGACGAUGAUUUCGAAUGACACACCGCAUUCGGGAGCAAGCCCCCUCCCAC
rnacentral:antisense_RNA from 1 species